rnacentral:rRNA from 1 species
UGUUUCGGCUAGGGGGCCAUCCCGGCUUACCAACCCGAUGCAAACUGCGAAUACCGGAGAAUGUUAUCACGGGAGACACACGGCGGGUGCUAACGUCCGUCGUGAAGAGGGAAACAACCCAGACCGCCAGCUAAGGUCCCAAAGUCAUGGUUAAGUGGGAAACGAUGUGGGAAGGCCCAGACAGCCAGGAUGUUGGCUUAGAAGCAGCCAUCAUUUAAAGAAAGCGUAAUAGCUCACUGGUCGAGUCGGCCUGCGCGGAAGAUGUAACGGGGCUAAACCAUGCACCGAAGCUGCGGCAGCGACGCUUAUGCGUUGUUGGGUAGGGGAGCGUUCUGUAAGCCUGCGAAGGUGGCCUGUGAGGGUUGCUGGAGGUAUCAGAAGUGCGAAUGCUGACAUAAGUAACGAUAAAGCGGGUGAAAAGCCCGCUCGCCGGAAGACCAAGGGUUCCUGUCCAACGUUAAUCGGGGCAGGGUGAGUCGACCCCUAAGGCGAGGCCGAAAGGCGUAGUCGAUGGGAAACGGGUUAAUAUUCCCGUACUUGGUGUUACUGCGAAGGGGGGACGGAGAAGGCUAUGUUGGCCGGGCGACGGUUGUCCCGGUUUAAGCGUGUAGGCUGACUUUCCAGGCAAAUCCGG